GUGCUUGCAUGAGCAGCACAUAUACUAAAAUUGGAACUAUACAUAGAAGAUUAGCAUGGCCCUUUACAAGGAUGACAUGCAAAUUUGUGAAGCAUUCCAUAUUUUU
ensembl:snRNA U6 U6 spliceosomal RNA